rnacentral:rRNA from 1 species
UCCUGGCUCAGGAUGAACGCUAGCUACAGGCUUAACACAUGCAAGUCGAGGGGAAACGACAUCGAAAGCUUGCUUUUGAUGGGCGUCGACCGGCGCACGGGUGAGUAACGCGUAUCCAACCUGCCCAUCACUUGGGGAUAACCUUGCGAAAGUAAGACUAAUACCCAAUGACGUCUCUAGAAGACAUCUGAAAGGGAUUAAAGAUUUAUCGGUGAUGGAUGGGGAUGCGUCUGAUUAGCUUGUUGGCGGGGUAACGGCCCACCAAGGCUACGAUCAGUAGGGGUUCUGAGAGGAAGGUCCCCCACAUUGGAACUGAGACACGGUCCAAACUCCUACGGGAGGCAGCAGUGAGGAAUAUUGGUCAAUGGACGAGAGUCUGAACCAGCCAAGUAGCGUGCAGGAUGACGGCCCUAUGGGUUGUAAACUGCUUUUAUAAGGGAAUAAAGUGAGUCUCGUGAGGCUUUUUGCAUGUACCUUAUGAAUAAGGACCGGCUAAUUCCGUGCCAGCAGCCGCGGUAAUACGGAAGGUCCGGGCGUUAUCCGGAUUUAUUGGGUUUAAAGGGAGCGUAGGCCGGAGAUUAAGCGUGUUGUGAAAUGUAGAUGCUCAACAUCUGCACUGCAGCGCGAACUGGUUUCCUUGAGUACGCACAAAGUGGGCGGAAUUCGUGGUGUAGCGGUGAAAUGCUUAGAUAUCACGAAGAACUCCGAUUGCGAAGGCAGCUCACUGGAGCGCAACUGACGCUGAAGCUCGAAAGUGCGGGUAUCGAACAGGAUUAGAUACCCUGGUAGUCCGCACGGUAAACGAUGGAUGCCCGCUGUUGGUCUGAAUAGGUCAGCGGCC